rnacentral:rRNA from 1 species
UGCAAGUCGAACGGACGUAGAAAUACGUUAGUGGCGGACGGGUGAGUAACGCGUGAGCAAUCUGCCUCUAUCAUCGGGAUAACACACGGAAACGAGUGCUAAUACCGAAUAAGACCACAUACCGGCAUCGGAGAGGGGUCAAAGAUUUUAUCGGAUAGAGAUGAGCUCGCGUCCCAUUAGCUAGUUGGUAGGGUAACGGCUUACCAAGGCGACGAUGGGUAGCCGACCUGAGAGGGUGAUCGGCCACACUGGAACUGAGAUACGGUCCAGACUCC